rnacentral:rRNA from 1 species
GUGGGGAAUUUUGGACAAUGGGCGCAAGCCUGAUCCAGCAAUGCCGCGUGCAGGAAGAAGGCCUUCGGGUUGUAAACUGCUUUUGUACGGAACGAAACGGUCCGGGUUAAUACCCUGGGCUAAUGACGGUACCGUAAGAAUAAGCACCGGCUAACUACGUGCCAGCAGCCGCGGUAAUACGUAGGGUGCAAGCGUUAAUCGGAAUUACUGGGCGUAAAGCGUGCGCAGGCGGUUUUGUAAGACAGGCGUGAAAUCCCCGGGAUCAACCUGGGAAUUGCGCUUGUGACUGCAAGGCUGGAGUGCGGCAGAGGGGGAUGGAAUUCCGCGUGUAGCAGUGAAAUGCGUAGAUAUGCGGAGGAACACCGAUGGCGAAGGCAAUCCCCUGGGCCUGCACUGACGCUCAUGCACGAAAGCGUGGGGAGCAAACAGGAUUAGAUACCCGUGUAGUCC